UUUAGUUAGUAUAUAUAAAGAAUCCUUUAUUUUGUUAUAGUUAAUUAGUACUGUUAAGGAAAGAUGAAAUAUUUUAAACAUUAUUUUAGGGAAAGUAUACUUUAUUUGUAGUACCUUUUGUAUCAGGGUUUAUUAAUUAAUAUAAAAUAUAUUUAUAUCUCGAUUUUAGAGGAGCUAACUUAUUAUUUUAAUUAAUGUGGAAUAAUUAUUAAUAAUAUUUGUUAGGAAAGAGAUUUUAUUCGGUUCUAAAGGUAUCUAGUUUUUUAAGAGAUAAAUUUAAUUUAGCUUUAUCUAUUAUUUUUUAUAUUACUAUAAAUUAAUAUAUGAUAAAUUAAAGAUUAUAGGGGAUAAGCUCUAUAUUUUUCUAUAAAAGUUUAAUUUAAUUAAUUUUUGUAGGCUUAAGAUUAGCUAUCAUUAGUAAAAGUGUUAUAAUUUAUAUUUAUUAUUAAUUAAUUUUAUUUAUUUUAGUGGUCUAUUAAAAUAUCAAAAUUGACUUAAUAUUUUGAGUAAUAAUGAUUAAAUUAGUAUAAAAUAUUGUUUAUGGUAUAAAAUUUUUCAUGAUAAAAUAAGGAACUCGGCAAAUAUAGUUCUCGCCUGUUUAUCAAAAACAUGUCCUUUAGAAAUUAAUUGAAGGUCUGACCUGCCCAGUGAUGAUUUUAACGGCCGCGGUAUACUGACCGUGCAAAGGUAGCAUAAUCAUUAGUCUUUUAAUAGAGGGCUGGUAUGAAAGGUUUGACGAGGAACUGACUGUCUCAUUUUAUAUGUUUUAAAAUUUAAUUUUUUAGUUAAAAAGCUAAAAUACUAUUGGAAGACGAGAAGACCCUAUAGAUCUUUAUAUAGAAGGGUAUGAAAAGGUAUAUAUUAUAUUUUUAUAUAUUUCUAUAUUUAGUUGGGGUGACAAAAAUAAAUAACUAACUUUUUUAUUUAUUAACCAUUAAUUUAUGAAUAUUAGAUCCGCUAUUGGUGAUUAUUAGACUAAGUUACCUUAGGGAUAACAGCGUAAUCCUCCUCCAGAGUUCAUAUUUACAGGAUGGGCUUGCGACCUCGAUGUUGGAUUAAGAUAAUAAUUAGGUGUAGCCGCUUAAUUUAUAGGUCUGUUCSRCCUUUAAAUUCUUACAU
rnacentral:rRNA from 1 species